AUACGGAGGGUGCGAGCGUUAAUCGGAAUUACUGGGCGUAAAGCGUACGUAGGCGGUUGGUUAAGUUAGAUGUGAAAGCCCCGGGCUUAACCUGGGAACUGCAUUUAAAACUGGCGAACUAGAGUUGAGUAGAGGGGAGUGGAAUUUCAGGUGUAGCGGUGAAAUGCGUAGAGAUCUGAAGCAACACCAGUGGCGAAGGCGACUCCCUGGACUCGAACUGACGCUGAGGUACGAAAGCGUGGGUAGCAAACGGGAUUAGAUACCCUAGUAGUCC
rnacentral:rRNA from 1 species